ACCACGGCCUCUCCUCGCUCUCUCCGUCCCUCCCGAUCCCGACUUCUCCCGACACGGCGGCCACGGCGACGCACCUCCUCCCGCGACCCGUGCUCCCGCCACCCCUUCCUUCCUCUCCCUCUCCCCGAUGUGGUGGCCUAGAGGUUGGCCCCCAGCGGCACCGCUUGACCGCCGGGCGUCCUUGCGGCAUGACGGUGGCCUCAGGCUGUGGCGGAGCGCCGCCCGUGUGACCUGCCGGCGCCCGUCCCCGGCCACGGCAUGGCGUCAGCAGGGCUCUCCGAGCAGGGCCCUCCGGUGGCUGGCGACGCGGGUGCUCUCCGAGGCAGGCUCCUCGAAACCCUAGGUUCCUGUGCUCGCGGACACGGCCGCCCGGUGCCGGGCUCGGGCCCGGUAGUCCCGUCGAUGGCCGCAAGAGCCCCAGCACAAGCAGGCCUCCGCCGUGGCCGUACCUGUGAGGGCCGUGGUUCUCGCCUUCGAUUUUGGAACAGCGGCGUCAGCCAUGUACCCUAUGCUCAGGUUUUCUUCGUUUCUCAUCUUUACAUUUUCCUUAUAUGCAGAUCAGUGCUUAGCUUCAUCCUCUUCAGUCCUAUGUUAUUCUCUAGCCUCUCCGAUCCUUUUAACCACUUUAGCAAAAUUGUUUUGGGCCGUUCCAUCAUAGCUUGGAUAUAUGGAUCUUCCUCAAUUUCUGAGAAUAACCCCAUUGCCACCAUGCAUAGAAGUUUAGAGUUGAUAGACAAAUGAUGAUUCAUAUGUUUCUGAGGCUUAAAAAAUAUCUCCACUUAAAAAAAGGGUAAUUUUUUUAAAAUUUAUUCUUUCUUCCCUUUUUCAGCCUAUGAUGACAAAUUUAUGUACGUUGCUAAACGAUAUGAUCUGAUAUUUGUUCUCUUGUGAGGUACUGGGCAUGUGCUAAGCAUGUCUUGAGGCUCUAAGUCGAUAAACAGAUGAUGAAUGGUAUGUUUCUGAGGCUUAAAACAAUUCUAUCUUCGAUGAAAAUCUUUGACUUAUUCUUCCUUCCCUUGUUCAGCCUAUGAUGAAAAAUUUAUACCCAAUGCCAACGACAUGAUCUGAUAUCUAUUCGCUUAUGAGGGACUAGGCAUGUACUAAGCAUGUCUUGAGGCUCCAAGUUGAUAAACAUAUGAUGAAUGAUAUCUUUCUGAGGCUUAAAAAAAAUUCUAUCUUCAAUAAAAAUUUUGAUUUAUUCUUCGUUCCCUUCUUCAACCUAUGAUGAAAAAUUUAUACCCAUUGCUAAAGGCUAUGAUCUGACGUCCAUUCGCUUGUCCUAAGCAUGUCUUCAGGCUCCAAGUUGAUUAACAAAUGAUGAAUGGUGUGUUUCUGAGGCUUCAAAAAAAUCAUAUCUUCAAUGAAAAUUAAAAUAUAAUUUUUGCGCUGCAAUUUACAUACAUAUACUUUUACUAAAUGCAUCUACAUGGUGUUCAAGUGGAAGGCAAAGUAUUUUGAUGUCAAUAAUUCGGUUGCAGGCUCAAAUUGACUAAACCAAAUAUCAGGUAUGAAAGGUGACAAUGCAUCCCCAUCUUGCUAUUUAUUAUUGCGCAGGGUGAACCGACAUGUAGAAAUCGAUAUGUUCUUACAGUUCUUAUUAGUGUGCAGCUAAUAUCUCUAAAAUAAAUUGCCUUUUUUUUUCUCGAAUACGCAGGAGGACUGCGUAUCAUUGUAUUAAUAGAAGGAAAAAAACGGAGCCGUACAGAAACUCAAGGAAACCACACACGCAGACUCACGCGCGCACGCGCACACACACAAAUUAAACUUCUAUUAACAGAAUAGAAAAAAAAAACAAAAAACACCUGAGACUAAGAAAAAGACCUGACCACCAAACUCCCUUUAUCUGUUCUCCUGAACUGGGCUCCGGGACAGCCCCUUGGCCCCAGACAAGGACCAAAGCAUAGCUUCCUCCUGAGCAAGAGUCAAAGCUGUGGCCAGAUUUGGGGUGGCUCCAUUGAAGACUGGUGAGGUCCUUUAUGGAGCAUAAUGUCCUAGAUGUUCUUGACCUAUUACAUCUGUUGCAAAAGCUCCUGUUGACUCCGUGUUGAGCUUGAUUGAUCUCAAAAAAGGCUUACUGAUAUUACAUGAUUACUCUAUGUGCUGUGUUUCGCUAUCAUCACACAAGAUCUUCUGUUUGUCUUACUCCUCAGGUAGUUUGACUAUACUUUAGCCUCUCUUUCUCCAUUUUCUAAUGCCUUUGGUUCUCCUAAUUUGGUGUAUUUGUGCUUUUUACUCUUGCUACCUCCUACUACAUCUGUGUUGAGUGAGGCCAAUCUCAAAGGAGUUUUACUGAUUUUGAAGGAUUAUUCUAUGUGGUACGCUUCAUAGUAUCUUGGUUAUGAUUCUCUAUUUUCCCUGUUCCUCAGAUAAAACAUCUAGGGAUAUCAGACAAUGAAACAUGACGCAAGGGUAGAUGCUACUCGCAAAAACUCAGCUUGUGCUUUAUGCUUGUUGUCUGCAGCAUGUUAGCACUUAGCAGCUCACUUACCUGCUGCUGUGAACUGCACUUGAUCCUUGCUGAGUUUUAGUCCAUAGAAAACCAUGGAUACAAUACUGGGAUUCGAAUUCGAAUUUCAGUGCAUCAAAAAGAGUGGAUUGGUGACUAUAAUCUAUCGGUUAGAUUUAAAAGUGUUAUUGUGUCAGACCAAGAGAGGCAGCUCUCCAAAUUUAUUUGGAUCCAUCGAAACACAUCAUUUAUCAGGUGCAUGAUCAUAGCGUGCUUGCCAAAAAACCCAGAACACUCCCAUUUCGAUUCAAGGCUGGCUUCACUAAGGUAUAUAAUGGCAAGGGCAAUAUAGGUGGAGCCAUUGGCAUUUGCUAAAGAAUGUGAUAUGGAGGAUCAGGAUGGAUCUUGUUGGUCAUGAUCUGACUGAUAUCCUAAUGAAGAUUCUCACACAAAGAAGCUGGCCUUUGUUGCCCUUGAUUACGAGCAGGAGCAGCCUUUGUUGCCCUUGAUUACGAGCAGGAGCAGACUGCUUACAACAAAGGUUGUUUUCUUGUUUUGGAAGUUCAUCCAAUCUUAAGGUUAUUUCAAAUUUAGUCUAAUAAAGAAUGGACUAGAUGUUGUAGUCUCACAGGCUUUUAAACUGUUGCUUAUGCCAUCUGCUGAGCUUGUUUUCUGUGGCUGGUAAUAUCCUUCGUUCCUCUUUCGUUUGCCUUUCGCAGUGGUUAUUUUCUUCCACUUUGUAUUUUGAAUAUUAUAUAUUAAGUGCUCGACAGUUGAACAAGUAAAAAAAACUAAAUCUGUACUAAUCAUGGAUAGUUGAUGAUAUGUCUGCCGGAGAUGGAGGUGGUGUUGCUGGUCUUAUUGCUACCGUCAACGUAUCCGAGAUUUCUGAUAUCUGCAUGACCGUUAUAGCCAGAAAUCGAAGAGCCUUCCUCCCUUUUGCUUAGCACAGUCUCUUGGAAAAGAAGCAAGGGCAUAUACAACCACAUGUGCUACCGCAGAUUAUCCAUCGUUAAUCAGUCAUAGGACAAGAACCACGACUUAGAUUACUUGAGUCAGCUAUAGUUCCUAUAAAUUUGUUACGUGUGCAUUGGAAAAUGUUAACAAUAUAUGCAGUGUAUAUGUAUAUAUAUAUCUACAUAUAUAUGCCUUACUAAACAUCUUACACUUACAUACUC